rnacentral:lncRNA from 1 species
AAGGCUGUUAGGGUUUAUCGUUUGGAUUUCUGACUUUUGGGGGUGUGACUUUUCCCCUGUAUUUCUUUGGGCUCUGAUUUCAGAUGGCUGGUGACCAGAUGACAAGAAUCUAAUGUUUUGCUUGUGGAUAUUCUUGAACCUUGUGCCUGCUCCUGGCUCCUUUACCAGUGGGAAGUUUGGGAGGCAGAAAAGGGAAGAGAAAUGCAGACCAGUUUGCACUGGGGCAUCUGUGGUCAUCUUGUGAUAUUCCAGUGGAGUCGUCAGGCCAUGUGAGAAGAAUGGAGGUUUGACCUGGGAGACAGGCGUUCUCAUGUCCUGUUCACAAGUCCUCAUGACCGAUAACGUGUGAAGACAACUGGGAAUGCCACAAGGUCUCUCUCUUUUGCAAGACCGUGUUCUUUUUAACCCCCCUCUGUGCCCACAGUCCUCUUGAAAGCCCCUCUCCAGAGUCACAAACAUUUGUUUGCUCUUCCUGAGGUUGGAGCCCUCUCUCUCCCUGCUGUGGGCACUGCCAGCGCGGUCACCGCCAGCUUCCCCCUCGGCUGCCUUACUAGAGAUGCCGUUUUGUUUUCUUUCCCUCCUUUGUUUUGCCUCUUCAAGAAAAUGGAAGUGAGCACCUGAGAGAGAGAGAGAGAGAGAGAGAGAGAGAGAGAGAGAGGGAGAGAGAGGGAGGGAGAGAGAGAGAGGAAGGCAGAGGGGAAAGACUGUGAGCACCAGAUGAUCUGAGAAUGAUAAAGGAAGGUUACCUGUGUGUUUGUCAACAAGAUGAAAUAAAUAAGAGCAAAAAGAAAAAAAAAAGGACA